CCCUUCUUUUUCCCCUUUUUUCUCUUUUUUCUUUUCCUCUUCCUCCCGCC
rnacentral:ribozyme from 1 species